CGCCCGUCGCUCCUACCGAUUGGGUGUGCUGGUGAAGCGUUAGGAUUGGGGGCUGUGGUGGGCAACCGCCGUUGCCUUCGAGAAUUUCGUUAAACCCUCCCACCUAGAGGAAGGAGAAGUCGUAACAAGGUUUCC
rnacentral:rRNA from 1 species